GCCCCUCACGGCUUCCCCGGCCUCCGGAGCCGUGUGCGCAGGUUCGAAUCCUGCCGGGGGUA
rnacentral:tRNA from 1 species